CAUGCAAGUCGAGCGGCAGCGGGAAGUAGCUUGCUACUUUGCCGGCGAGCGGCGGACGGGUGAGUAAUGUCUGGGAAACUGCCUGAUGGAGGGGGAUAACUACUGGAAACGGUAGCUAAUACCGCAUGACCUCGCAAGAGCAAAGUGGGGGACCUUCGGGCCUCACGCCAUCGGAUGUGCCCAGAUGGGAUUAGCUAGUAGGUGAGGUAAUGGCUCACCUAGGCGACGAUCCCUAGCUGGUCUGAGAGGAUGACCAGCCACACUGGAACUGAGACACGGUCCAGACUCCUACGGGAGGCAGCAGUGGGGAAUAUUGCACAAUGGGCGCAAGCCUGAUGCAGCCAUGCCGCGUGUGUGAAGAAGGCCUUAGGGUUGUAAAGCACUUUCAGCGAGGAGGAAGGGUUCAGUGUUAAUAGCACUGUUCAUUGACGUUACUCGCAGAAGAAGCACCGGCUAACUCCGUGCCAGCAGCCGCGGUAAUACGGAGGGUGCAAGCGUUAAUCGGAAUUACUGGGCGUAAAGCGCACGCAGGCGGUUUGUUAAGUCAGAUGUGAAAUCCCCGAGCU
rnacentral:rRNA from 1 species